UACGUAGGUGGCAAGCGUUGUCCGGAAUUAUUGGGCGUAAAGCGCGCGCAGGCGGUCUCUUAAGUCUGAUGUGAAAUCCCACGGCUCAACCGUGGAGGGUCAUUGGAAACUGGGGGACUUGAGUGCAGAAGAGGAAAGUGGAAUUCCAUGUGUAGCGGUGAAAUGCGUAGAGAUGUGGAGGAACACCAGUGGCGAAGGCGACUUUCUUGUCUGUAACUGACGCUGAGGCUCGAAAGCGUGGGGAGGAAACAAG
rnacentral:rRNA from 1 species